UGGACCUUCCCCAAUUCCACUGGCUGCCCUCCUCAAGGACCCCUGUGAGAUAAAUUCAGAAAUGGCUAUCCUUGGCUUCCCUGGGGAACAAGAGUGCCUGCAGUUCUUUUCCCACUUCUUCUUUUACUUUUUUAUUUCACUGGGCUCUCUAAAUUCAUUUCAGCUCUAGGUAAGGUUAAACUCUUUUCCCGUCUUCUGGAUUUUCAGGUUCUCCAGGGCCGAUGUAUGUUUGGAGAUGGAUUUCCCCCCUCACACUUCAGGCACUCAGUUUUUUGGCAGUCUCAUGGAGUUUCCAGUGGCAAGCCGCUUAUUUCAAAUGGGAUUUGGAAAGGAUUCCGUGAUGGUUAAUAUUGAGUGUCAACUUGAUUGGAUUGAAGGAUGCAAAGUAUUGUUCCUUGGUGUGUCUGUGAGGGUGUCACCAAAGGAGAUGAACAUUUGAAUCAGUGAGCUGGGAGACACAAACCCAUCCUCAAUCUUGGGGGACACCAUCUAAUCAGCUGCCAGUGCAACUAGGAUAAAAUCAGGCAGAGAAAUUUGGAAAGACUAGACUGGCUGAGUCUUCUGGCCUGCAUCUUUCUCCCAUGCUAGAUGCUUCCUGCCCUCGAAUAUCAGACUCCAAGUUCUUUAGCUUUUGGACUCUUGGACCUUUGGCCACAGACGGAAGGCUGCACUUUUGAAGUUUUGGGACUUGGACUGGCUUCCUUGCUCCUCAGCUUACAGAUGGCCUAUUGUGGGACUUCACCUUGUGAUCGUGGGCAGCGCAGGAUAGGACAGACGUCCUGGGACAAUCCCUCACAGAUACUGAGGGACAACUGAAGAUACAGUCUCUGAUGUGCUUAAACUAAUCAGUGAGUCCUAUGUUGGAGGCAUGCCACCGUCUACAACUUUGCUGGAUUGAAUCAUGAUAUAUUUUUCAAUAAAAUAUUGAAACUCAAUAAAUUAUAAAAUGUACAGAUAUAGAAAUAACAAAACACUUCUAGAGUACAUGUUCAAAAAUUCUGCCGAUUAUUUGCUUUGCUUUAAUUUAUUCGUACUGAUAGAAAAUUUAAAAUUUUAUAGAUAUAUAAAUCUAGAUAUCUGAAUUGUUUCAUUCCCAUUCAGUAUUUUGGUGAGGAGAGAAAAGUAAAAAAAUGGAGAUAGAUUCAGGCAUGAAAAAGAUUUGUAGUUUAUUUUAUGUUUAACUUAGUUGUUUUGAUACAUUCAUGAUACCCUCUUCUAUCUUCUGUGGAAUGCAAUUUAGUUCAAUGUAACAACAUUUCUCUAGUAUAUCUUAUCUUCAAGGAGGUGUUAUUUAGUUUCUUUUGUUUCUUUAUUUGUUUUGUGUUUUACAAAACAAGGGACAAGCAUCUUUCUUGGGAGCAAAGAAUGUGCCCAUCUUAUGACAGUGAGGGUAGGAAUGGACAGGAAAGGAAAAAUUGGAGUCAGCUGUUUGAGGACUAGAUGUUCAGCUGCUCUAACUCAGAAUGUGAAUUUACAAUAAGGAUGUAGAGGAGAUACCGUAACAUGGGCAUAGUGUUUUGGAUUGACAUCAACAGGAGGAUUACACAUAUGGGAGGGAUCAUAGCAUCUAGGACAUUUAUAGAUACAAUUAUAUGUGAGCAUUAGUCCUGUGAACCCAAGUUAACAGUUUUCCUUUUUCACCCUAGUUAAGAAGUUAUUUUAUCACCAUAAAAGGCUUUCAUGCACUAUUUCAUGCUACAUAAGUGCAAAUAAAAUGCACUUGUAUCAGUGACAAUGAUAUGGAUGAGACUGGUUUCAUUUUUAAGAAUCAAGAUGAUUGUUUUAUAAGCAUGUACCAUAAAAAGAACAACCUGUGGUAUGCUCUAGAAUUUGAGAAGCUAAUGCUUUUAAGGCAGGCGGACCAUUGUUUUGGUAGCAGUUGUUUUUGUUAUUAUUUUUAUCAUUAAUUAUUAUUAUCAAUCCCAUUUUAUCUAACAAAAGAGAAUGGCUUAUUUGGCUUGCUAAUGAUAAAAUAAUCUGCACAGAAGCAGGAGGUAAACCUUUCGAAACACUGAACUUUUACUGCAUGGCUUCCUUAUAGCACAUUGCCUCUUCCAUUAAGCUGAGGCAAGAAAUAUAUAGAGGAAAUGAAGUGAAAAAUGCUAAACAUCUGUAUUUAUGUAAGACAAUAGAGUUAGAAGAGGAUAAGGUGAUGCUUACAUUGCUUCAUGUAUUGGAAAACUACUUAUAUAGUCAUGAUAUAAGUGUUUUAGUACAUUCAGGCUGCUACAAAAUAUCAUAAACUAUAUGGCUUAUAAACAACAGAAAUUUAUUUCUUACACUUCUGGAGGGUAGGAAGUGCAAUAUGAGGGUGCCAAUGUGGUCAAGUUCUGGUGAGGGCCCUCUUCCAGGUUGCAGACUACCAACUUCUCACUGUGUCCUCACAGGAUGAAAGGAGCAAACCAGCUUACACUAAUCCCAUUCACAAGAGUUCUGCUUUCAUGCCCCAGUCACCUCUAGAAGGCUCUAACUUCUUAAAGUUAUCACAUUGGGGAUUAGGUUUCAGCAUAUGAAUUUUGGGAUGGAAAGGGCACAAAGGUUCAGGCUAUAGCAGUAAGUUAGUGUUAUUUACACAAACUAUAUUAAAUACAGGUACCUCUUUAAACUGAUCCUGGCUCUCUUUUCUCUGUAGUAACAUGGUGUAUCUUGGCAUAAUUGUUUUCAUUCUUCCCUUUUAUUUGAACUUUCAUGUCCUUCAGAAGUUAAGCUAAAUGGAAAACUCCUUGAGCAGAUACUUAAACUAGGCUAUCAAUUGUAGGGUAUUUGGCCUGUGCUGUUGAAAUCACUUUAGACAUCUGUGUUUGUUUUUAGGAGGACUUUGAAAUAAUACUUGUUAAGAUAUUGUGAAAUUAUACAUUCUUUUUAGAAGUUAUGCAGUUUGUAGAGGCAUAUUUUACAAGAUUGUAAAAUCUCAUAAUUAUUUCAUAUCUGUGACAAAUAACACAAAUUAUUGUUUUUUUCUUCAUAUUAUCUUCCAUGAAAUUUAAUGGACAGUGCAGUUUCACUUUAACACUAGGUUUUCAGAGUAUUAGGAUUUAUCCAAACACUAAGUUGAUUGAGAAAAUGUCUCUUUGCCUCAUCUAUAUUGCUAGGCUCUUGAAAUUCUAAAGUGUGUUAUUUUGCUUAAGUUAUGAAUAUAUUACAAAUGAUAUAAGAAAUUUAGAAAAUAUUAGGAGGAAGAAAAGUUUUAGCCCCAAGUAAAGGGAUAAUUUUCUGUUUUGCUUUAUUUGUGGCAACUUGGUCUGACUUAUUUUUAUUUCUAAUUUUCAGCUUAAAUAUCAAGUAUUAAAAUAUUACUAAAAUUAUCUCCAUUUCAAGACAAAAUAAUAUGAAUACAUUAUUGAUAUAAAUAAAUUAAUGUGAAUUUCUCACUUGCAAUUAU